rnacentral:lncRNA from 1 species
UUUUAGUAAGCUAUAAAUUUUAUUAACUAUAGAUAGAAAAAGUAUCAACAUUUUUUAUUAUAUCAAAAUAAAUAUUGUUAGAUUAAUUAUGAAACAUAUUUUUAUAUUAAAGAAUUUGGAACCAUAAAUAUGAAUACCAUUUACCAGGAACCAUAAUUAUGAAACAUAUUUUUGGACAGCCAUAUUGUGCCCAGAAGUUCAUGAAUUUCUCGAAAAACUAGGAUAGUCCAAAGCUUAAUGAGCUUCUUGGAUUUAGCUUGUGCCCAAACGCUACCAACGCUGCGAAGACGGACGCAUCUCACUUAUCCGAAGCAUCUGUGAAGACUGAAGAGAGUUUGGCAUUAUGCUUGAAUGUAAAUGACAUGAAAUAUCAUUAUAACAAAAUCGCGAAAGCUAAUUUGUAAAACUGCUAAUGUUAUCUAGCAUAAAUCAAGCAACAGGCAAAGCGUACAUAGAACAGCGGUUAUGUAAGUCGAUUUCUUAAGCAAAACCAAAUUGGCAUCAGAAGGGAUGUCAUGUAUUCAUAUCACCGCGGGUUGGGCUACAAGUGCCCAUGAACUGCUCAUAGCCCUUGCGCAAUAAUCCCAGCAUCACUUGCCAUUGGAAAGGGGUGUGAAUAAAUCUUAUAUCUCAGGAAAAAAUGCCAGGUAGAAACGGCAAAUUAAAUGCUUUUUUUGUAGAAAACUGAACAAUCACAAGACUACAAAGCAAAUGAAGUUUCCUCGCAAAAGGGUGCAGAUCCAGGACCGAAAACUGCUGCCAUCAGAAGGGAUAAUACAUACAUAUGUUGUGAUCUCAUCGCAUUCGGCAAACACAAGCCACGAAUUGCUCAAAGCCCUUGCGCAAUAUUCCCAGCAUCACUUGGCAGCAGGAAAAACACACACGUAGAUUUGGGGCUACAAGGAAAUGAACGAAUGAAGCAGGCACGCCCAAAGACUGGGAGGAGAGACGAGGUACACGGGGACACGGCUGUGUCUGGCAAGAAGCAACAAAUCUCCCAUGGUUGCUGCCUUGCUGAUUGGAGGCGGCGGCGGCGUUCCGGGCACAGCGGUAGGGUUAAGGGGGUGGCUUAACGACGACGCGUGCGCGAGUCAUGGGCUAAAUCGGGCUAC